GCCUCCAUUUUCAAUUUCCAAAAAAAAAAAUCCAGCGGUCUGCCCUCUUCUUCCCCACGCACUUCUUCCUCUUCUCUUCUCCACUCACGCCGCAUUGCCGCGCCGGCUGCCUCGCUCAUCGCCCGUCCAGUCGCCAGCACCCCGCCUCGGCGUCGCCGUCUCUGUCUGCUGCUGCCGUCUCCGUCUGCUAGGCUCGUCGCCCGUCGCCAGUCGCCAGCACCCCGCCGCGACGUCAGCCUCUCCGUCUGCUAGGCUCGUCACCCGCCGCCAUUCGACAGCACACACACACGCCUCAUCUAUUGUUUGAGAAUGAGGAAGGAGAACCUUUUUAUGUCAUGUUGAACACCACUUAAGUUACAAGCUUGGAGGAAGAUUGGGUGCUUGACAUUUGUUCUAGUAUCAUGUUAUUUUGAUGAAUUUGAAACUUUUCGUAAUGUAUGUUCUAGAUGGAUAUUGUUUAUUUUACAAACUUUUGAAUUUGUGGCUUA